rnacentral:rRNA from 1 species
GGGUGCGAUCAUACCAGCACGAAUGCACCGGAUCCCAUCAGAACUCCGCAGUGAAGCGUGCUUGGACGAGAGUAGUACUAGGAUGCGUGACCUCCUGGGAAGUCCUCGUGUUGCACCCC